rnacentral:rRNA from 1 species
UGGGGAAUAUUGGGCAAUGGGCGCAAGCCUGACCCAGCAACGCCGCGUGAAGGAAGAAGGUCUUCGGAUUGUAAACUUUUGUCGCCGGGAACGAUGAUGACGGUACCCGGCAAGAAAGCCCCGGCUAACUACGUGCCAGCAGCCGCGGUAAUACGUAGGGGGCGAGCGUUGUCCGGAAUUACUGGGCGUAAAGGGCGCGUAGGCGGUUUGUUAAGUUAGAUGUGAAAUCCCCGGGCUUAACCUGGGUGUUGCAUUUAAAACUGGCAGACUUGAGUGCAGGAGAGGAAAGCGGAAUUACCGGUGUAGCGGUGAAAUGCGUAGAGAUCGGUAGGAACACCAGUGGCGAGGGCGGCUUUCUGGACUGAAACUGACGCUGAGGCGCGAAAGCGUGGGGAGCAAACAGGAUUAGAUACCCUGGUAGU